rnacentral:lncRNA from 1 species
AUGAGGUCUCCGCGUCCCACCACUGGGGAGAGAUGGUCAAGUGUGGGAGUUUCCAGAGAAGCCAAGCACGCCUACGUUACAAGUUGGAACAGGAUAUCACUCAGAAUUUGUAAAUGUGUAAAUAUUCUAAACACCCGAUUUUUUUCGUGUAACUGCUGGAAAAUGGAAAACUUUGUCUGGGCUCCCACUUGUGCCAGACGGAACCCGGGCUCACCUCUGCAUAGUCCUAAGGCUCAUCAUGGCUUUCAUCGGAUGCCCUACCAGCAGUCCUACAGCAGACCUCUGCUAGAGGCUCCCUCAGCCCCUUUUGCAGCACAGCCCCUCAACAUGGUCAGUUUCAGCUCUUCUGUGCUCUGCUGGAGGAAGAGAAUACUGACA